UCCACAGGAAGUUUCUAGAGAUGAGUAUAGGUGCCUUCGGGACCGUGAGACAGGUGCUGCAUGGCUGUCGUCAGCUCGUGUUGUGAAAUGUUGGGUUAAGUCCCGCAACGAGCGCAACCCUGUAUCCUUGUGUUGCCAGCGGUCCGGCGCGGGAACUCAAAGGAGACUGCCAGUGACUAACAUCUGGAGGAAGGUGGGGAUGACCGUCAAGUUCAUCAUGGCCCUUACGACCAGGGCUACACACGUGCUACAAUGGCGCAUACAAAGAGAGAGCGACCUCGCGAGAGCAAGCGGACCUCAUAAAGUGCGUCGUAGUCCGGAUUGGAGUCUGCAACUCGACUCCAUGAAGUCGGAAUCGCUAGUAAUCGUGGAUCAGAAUGCCACGGUGGAAUACGUUCCC
rnacentral:rRNA from 1 species